ACUCCUACGGGAGGCAGCAGUGGGGAAUAUUGGACAAUGGGGGAAACCCGUAGCAUCCAGCCAUGCCGCGUGUGUGAAGAAGGCCUUCGGGUUGUAAAGCACUUUCAGUGGGGAGGAAAGGUUGAUGGUUAAUACCUAUCAGCUGUGACGUUACCCACAGAAGAAGCACCGGCUAACUCCGUGCCAGCAGCCGCGGUAAUACGGAGGGUGCAAGCGUUAAUCGGAAUUACUGGGCGUAAAGCGUGCGCAGGCGGUCUGUUAAGCGAGAUGUGAAAGCCCCGGGCUGCAACC
rnacentral:rRNA from 1 species